CCAAUAGCGUAUAUUAAAGUUGUUGCAGUUAAAAAGCUCGUAGUCGAAUUUCGGGGUCAGUAGGCUGGUCGUGCCUCCGGUACGUACUGGUCUUACUGAUUCCUCCUUCCUGACGAACCGUAAUGCCAUUAAUUUGGUGUUGCGGGGAAUCUGGACUGUUACUUUGAAAAAAUUAGAGUGUUUAAAGCAGGCUAACGCUUGAAUACAUUAGCAUGGAAUAAUGAAAUAGGACGAUCGAUCCUAUUUUGUUGGUUUCUAGGAAUGACGUAAUGAUUAAUAGGGAUAGUUGGGGGCAUUAGUAUUCAAUUGUCAGAGGUGAAAUUCUUGGAUUUAUUGAAGACUAACUACUGCGAAAGCAUUUGCCAAGGAUGUUUUCAUUAAUCAAGAACGAAAGUUAGGGGAUCGAAGACGAUCAGAUACCGUCGUAGUCUUAACCAUAAACUAUGCCGACUAGGGAUCGGAUGAUGUUAAUUUUUUAAUGACUCAUUCGGCGCCUUACG
rnacentral:rRNA from 1 species